AACUUUUGGCAACGGAUCUCUUGGGUCUGGCAUCGAUGAAGAACGCAGCGAAAUGCGAUAAGUAAUGCGAAUUGCAGAAUUCCAGUGAGUCAUCGAAUCUUUGAACGCACAUUGCGCCCUUUGGUAUUCCGAAGGGCAUGCCUGUUCGAGCGUCAUUAUCACCCCUCAAGCCCCGCGCUUGGUGUUGGACGGCCGGUCGAGCGAUCGACCCCUCCUAAAGACAAUGACGGCGGCCUGUGGUUCCCCCGGUACACUGAGCUUUUAAUUGAGCACGUAUAGGACAAGGGCACCCGGGACCCGGUCCUCUCCUUUAACUAGGAAACUUCUAAGGUUGACCUCGGAUCAGGUAGGAAUACGCGCUGAACUUAAGCAUAUCAAUAAGCGGAGGCU
rnacentral:misc_RNA from 1 species